ACACACCUUUUCUUGGAUUUUGAACAGCUUUAGCUUUUUUGUCAUGGCUUGCGCUGCAAGUCACGUUGCAUGUCAUAAAGUCAUGAUGUGAAAUGUGAUUUUGUUGGGUAAUUUGGAAUCUUCCCUGCACACAAUAGAGGGUAUGCGCAUGAUGUCACAGAACGCUGCUACGCUCACUGAGUGGCAGAAAGACGAGCAGCAGUGUUAGCUUGCAUCAGCUAAAACACAAACACCACAUCUAAAAUGGGAAAGAGCUGGACCACUGGUUCUUUGGUAAGCAGUAAGGACCACUGUUGAGUCCGACUGCCUAUAAUUUAAGCAAAUAAUCACUUGUUUUACUCCCGGUUUGCUAAACGCAGCCAUGGUAACAGAUGUUUUGCCACUCAGUCCAGCGUUUUCCGGAAGGAGAAGUGAGAUCAACCCAUACCGUCUAUUUCUUCUUCCUCCUCUUCACUCUCCUCCGUGGUCUCCUCUCCUCUCCUCCUCUUUCAUUCUCUCUCGGUUGCUCAAACAUAUCUGAGAAAUUGAACAGAACAUGUCUGGCCCCAUGGGGUUUUUUUGGGUGUAGAGGUGUAGCUUUUCUCAUGUCUGGUAGUAGCGCCGUACAACACCUGGCCACCAGGUGGGGCUGUUUAAAAAACGUUAACCUCUAAGUCUGAUUCAGUCAGUGUAAAUGUGGAUCUGAAACAGUGGGUACAUCCCAGUCUCUUAUGUGAUAUUUCCUCGCUACUUGCUCCGCACUUGAACCGGAUGUCUUUCUGGUCCGCCAUCUUGCAGGCCAUCCCAAAGCUCUUAUUUGUGCUUCGAGGAGCGAUCUCUAAGGAAUGAGGGAUGAAAAAAGACAUAUGUAUAAAUGAAUAAAUAAAUAAAAUUAAUAAUUAAAUUCAGAAAUAAAUUAAAAUUAAAUAUGUUUUUGUAAAAAAAAAAAAAAAAAAAAGGCUUUCUGUAUUUCUACAUUUAUUUAUGCCUGUAUUUCCAUGUUUCUACAUUUAUUUAUGCCUGCGCCUGUAUGCUAACAGAGUGGUUAGCUGGGGGCCGCAACGCAAACCAGACGGAGGCAAGCGAUUCAUCUACAUGACACAAGCCAGCUACACAGUAGAUUCCUGUAGUCAAACAUAUUCAGUGUCAAAGUACAUGGAUUCUUCCAUGGUUAUUACAACAACAGCUAGAGUAGGAUUCUUCCACUGUUGGUGUAGUUUUUUGUAGUUAAAAGACUUGGUGAAAAAAUUACUCCGGAAAGCCCCGCCCAACUCCUUCUCUUGGAUUUCAACCCUCAACCAACCGGAAUAUUUACUGCGCCAUUUUCCUCGUCGAAAGUCUGUGGUAAGUGUCUCUAAAUUACUUAUUAAAUCAUUGUUUUUUGCAUUUGAGUAGAAGCCGCAUUGUAGAAUAACUUAAUAUUGAUGUCCACCACCGCAGCCUCUGCUGCUCUGUGUCGGCUCCUGCACACACGCACAGCGGCCAGCAGGGGGCGAGGACGCAGUGGAGACCGAGUUGCGAAGGGAGCUCUAAACUACACCAGUUUACCACAGCUAUGCUCGUUAGUGUACGUAUGUGCAAUAAAACCUUCGUGACUAAAAAUAUAUUACUUUAUCAGUUUAACAUGUAGAAAGCGUUAUUUUAAUCUGCUCUGUCCUCAGUCGCUCAUCCUCUGUGUGUUAAACAAGCACAGCUAAUGUUAGCUUGGCAAUUAGCCAAAUGUUACAAACAAGCUAAAUUGAAAUCUGUCUGUCUGAAACGUUAGUCUAAGUGUUUAGCUUAGUUUUGCCCUCUAGCUUAAAAUGUGGCACACUGUUGUAAACUCAGCUGCUGGCUGAGACGUACAUUUCAUUUAAAGCCAGAGAUAGUGCUCGCAGUUAAUAUUUACAGACUAAUGAUGUGUUGCAAGCUGCGGUUGUUAACGCUGGUUUAAAGUACAUCAGAGAGCAGCAACUGUGUCUGUUGUGGUAAUGCUAAUAAGUUAAAUAUUAUACACACACGAUGAGAUGAGAACUAAAGUGGAUGCAGACGUCUUUGAAGAAGCAGCACAGCAACCCGAUGCUGGUGUAUUUACUAUCAGAUCUGACAACAGUAAACUUGAUUCCCGUUUCUUUCAACAUAGUCCAUGGAUUAAGACCCAGUUACACUUUAGUUGUGAAAAACCAACAAAUGGUGUUUAUUUCUUCUCUCUCUCCUGAACUACACUUAGAUUCCAAGGGGACAACCUCUUCCAGCUCUUCCCAGUCCACCAGGCCACGGCUUGAUGUCGUAACCAACUCAGCACUGUACGUUUCAAUUUGUGGCUCAGAUGGUACAGUCAUCCUGGAUGAGGAAUGAAGCGCUUCCAGAAAACAAGAGAAGGCUGAUACUGAUGUCAAACACUUAAUUGAAUCUGCACUGACCAAGAAACCUGGUGGAGGUCGUAUUAUCAAGGCGAAGAAAGCUCUGACUGACUCCUCACGGCAACAGAUGGUUAAAGGAUAAUCUCAGUAUUUGUAAACCUGGGCCCCAUUUUCACAUAUUUUGGUGUUGAAAUGACUCGUAGGUACAGAAACUUUUAAAUCAGUGCAGUAGAUGGCUUCCAGGAGACACUCUUUAUUUAUGUUUUAUUUUUUUAACAGGAAGCUGAAAUCUCAAAGACAAUUCUCACUCUAAAAUCUUGUGAGACACAUUCAACACCAACACACAGCAGGCACACUCCGGCAUCACAACUCUCUCGGGGGCUUAUUUGGUAGAUUUUGGUUAGAGUUGAUUGGUAGAUUACAAAUGAUGGCAUGAUAAUGACGUUUGUUAUGGGCUACAGUUCUCCCCUGGAAUGACCAUUAAAAUGUAAAAUGAAUGUGCAGUUUAAAAGCAACUGCUAAGGGAGCUGUGACACUGAAACAGAACUACAAACUAAACCAUAAUGGUAAAUGUUUUUAUUUUUAAUAAAUUGUAUGGAUUACAUGGA